rnacentral:rRNA from 1 species
CAACCUACCUAUCAGAGGGGAAUAACCCGGCGAAAGUCGGACUAAUACCGCAUAAAACAGGGGCACCGCAUGGUGAUAUUUGUUAAAGAAAUUCGCUGAUAGAUGGGCACGCGUUCCAUUAGGUAGUUGGUGAGGUAACGGCUCACCAAGCCGACGAUGGAUAGGGGAACUGAGAGGUUGGUCCCCCACACUGGUACUGAGACACGGACCAGACUCCUACGGGAGGCAGCAGUGAGGAAUAUUGGUCAAUGGGCGAGAGCCUGAACCAGCCAAGUCGCGUGAAGGAAGAAGGAUCUAUGGUUCGUAAACUUCUUUUGCAGGGGAAUAAAGUGCGGGACGUGUCCUGUUUUGUAUGUACCCUGAGAAUAAGGAUCGGCUAACUCCGUGCCAGCAGCCGCGGUAAUACGGAGGAUCCGAGCGUUAUCCGGAUUUAUUGGGUUUAAAGGGUGCGUAGGUGGUUUGAUAAUUCAGCGGUGAAAGUUUGCAGCUUAACUGUAAAAAUGCCGUUGAAACUGUAAGACUUGAGUGUAAAUGAGGUAGGCGGAAUGCGUGUGUAGCGGUGAAAUGCAUAGAUAUCACGAAGAACUCCGAUUG